UACGUAGGGGGCAAGCGUUGUCCGGAAUCAUUGGGCGUAAAGAGCGCGUAGGCGGCCCUGUAAGUCCGCUGUGAAAGUCAAGGGCUCAACCCUUGGAUGCCGGUGGAUACUGCAGGGCUAGAGUUCGGAAGAGGCGAGUGGAAUUCCUGGUGUAGCGGUGAAAUGCGCAGAUAUCAGGAGGAACACCGAUGGCGAAGGCAGCUCGCUGGGACGAUACUGACGCUGAGGCGCCGAAAGCGUGGGGAGCAAACAGG
rnacentral:rRNA from 1 species